rnacentral:rRNA from 1 species
GACGAACGCUGGCGGCGUGCCUAAUACAUGCAAGUAGAACGCUGAAGGAGGAGCUUGCUUCUCUGGAUGAGUUGCGAACGGGUGAGUAACGCGUAGGUAACCUGCCUGGUAGCGGGGGAUAACUAUUGGAAACGAUAGCUAAUACCGCAUAAGAGUAGAUGUCGCAUGACAUUUGCUUAAAAGGUGCAAUUGCAUCACUACCAGAUGGACCUGCGUUGUAUUAGCUAGUUGGUGAGGUAACGGCUCACCAAGGCAACGAUACAUAGCCGACCUGAGAGGGUGAUCGGCCACACUGGGACUGAGACACGGCCCAGACUCCUACGGGAGGCAGCAGUAGGGAAUCUUCGGCAAUGGACGGAAGUCUGACCGAGCAACGCCGCGUGAGUGAAGAAGGGUUUCGGAUCGGAAAGCUCUGUUGUAAGAGAAGAACGAGUGUGAGAGUGGAAAGUUCACACUGUGACGGUAUCUUACCAGAAAGAGACGGCUAACUACGUG